AGUGAACGCUGGCGGCGUGCUUAACACAUGCAAGUCGAACGACAACGGAAUAUAGCUUGCUAUAUUUGUCAGCUAAGUGGCGCACGGGUGAGUAAUGUAUAGAUAACCUGCCCUUAAGAAAGGAAUAACAGUUGGAAACGACUGCUAAUGCCCUAUAUGCCUUUAAUACAUAAGUAUGCAAGGGAAACGCUUUAGUGCUUAAGGAUGGGUCUGUAUGGUAUCAGCUUGUUGGUGAGGUAAUGGCUCACCAAGGCUAUGACGCCUAACUGGUUUGAGAGGAUGAUCAGUCACACUGGAACUGAGACACGGUCCAGAUUCCUACGGGAGGCAGCAGUGGGGAAUAUUGCACAACGGACGAAAGUCUGAUGUAGCAACGCCGCGUGGAGGAUGACACAUUUCGGUGCGUAAACUCCUUUUAUAUAGGAAGAUAAUGACGGUACUAUAUGAAUAAGCACCGGCUAACUCCGUGCCAGCAGCCGCGGUAA
rnacentral:rRNA from 1 species